UAGUCGAGUUCCUCGCCAAACAGUUACGUGAGUAAGCCGAUAACAUAAUAAUUAAUUUAGUAUGUCUCACGAAAGUUAUAAUGAAAUGAAAUGAAAGUAUUAUUUUUUUACCAAAAAUUGUUUAUAUUUAUGUCGUAUAUCUAUUUAGUGUGUCUUGCACAAAAUUUGACGUUCGAUUGUGUAGCUUUAUCCUAUGUGGCCCUUCGCUGCUUUUUACCGACUUCAAAAAAAAGGAGUUAUUUGAUUUUUAUGAUUAAUUUUGACCCAAUUACCAAGUAUAGCUGCAAUUUAAAAUUGUAUGUGUUAUUUUAAAAUGUGAAUUGAUAUACGUACAAUUUUCUAGUCAGAAAUUAUUGCCUAAAUGUCUAAUUCUAAUUUAAAUAGCAGCUCGUGUUAUGUAGUGUUUUGUCCAGUCAACUGAUGGUAGCGAGGUUCACUGUCCAGUGACACACGUACGCUGGUAUCGUCAUGAGCUAAUGUUCACAUGUAAACAGUGGCUCGUGUAGUGUAGAGAUUGUCCAGUCAAGAAAAAUCUAAAAUGAUAACUUAAAACUAUACCAAUUUGUGGAUUUUUCAAACUGAAUAUAGUUUUUUGUUUAUCAAAGGCUACUUUAUUACUAACUAAUUAACCUCUGCUUAGAUUGUGUGGGUUAGAAGCGUGAUGUUAUGAUUAUGUCAAUUGUAUUGCAUUUUUGAAAUGGACUCGGUAAUACUCUUUACCGAAAUUGUUAUGAACCUGUUUGGCGAAUGUGAUUUUUUUAAGGUGACAUUUUAAUAGAAAUGUGAAAUGGAUUUAUUUGACUUAUAUUGCUUGAAAAUUUCAUAAUUUAAUGUAUUAUCGAAGAAAUUAUAUUCACUUUCAUUAAUAUUAUAACUAUGUUGAUUUGAAAAAUGUCUAGUACCAAAAUGUAAACCAAAUAAGGCUAGGUAGUCUCGACAUUUAUAACGACGGAAUUCAGUCGCUAAGUCGUGACUUACUAUACAAGAUUUUGAACCUUAACAUUUUGUAAUUAAAGUUCAAAAAAUAACUAGAUAGCGACCAUAUUAUUAUUCUGUCGUUAGCAUAGUCGAGACUACCAAUCCUGCUCUUAACCAUUUUUUUUUUAUUAUUAAGUGUAAUUUUCAAUGUAUGCCAAUGGAUUUUGAGUUCUAAAUUCACAGUAUCAGAGUUGAUUUUGUAAAAGUACACUAUAUAUAGGUACAUACAGCGGAGGGCUUUACCGCAUAUGUACAAAAUACUGAAUAAGUAGCGUGUAUGUGUGAGCGUAUGAGUUUGCUUGUCUAUCUCAAUAAAUAUGACCUUUUUUGUCUA